rnacentral:rRNA from 1 species
UACGAAGGGGGCUAGCGUUGCUCGGAAUCACUGGGCGUAAAGGGUGCGUAGGCGGGUCUUUAAGUCAGGGGUGAAAUCCUGGAGCUCAACUCCGGAACUGCCUUUGAUACUGAAGAUCUUGAGUUCGGGAGAGGUGAGUGGAACUGCGAGUGUAGAGGUGAAAUUCGUAGAUAUUCGCAAGAACACCUGUGGCGAAAGCGGCUCACUGGACCAUAACUGACGCUGAUGCACGAAAGCUGGGGGAGCAAACAGG